UGCCUAUUGAAGGUAGUGAGUCUAACUGAAAACUCAUAAAAUGUGUGCAGUCCAUCACCUCCUAUCUUGAAUAUUUCACUGAGAUUGGAGUUAAAUAUCAGCACUACAUAU
rnacentral:snoRNA from 1 species